rnacentral:rRNA from 1 species
GAUGAACGCUGGCGGCGUGCCUAAUACAUGCAAGUCGAGCGAACAGACGGGGAGCUUGCUCCUCUGACGUUAGCGGCGGACGGGUGAGUAACACGUGGAUAACCUACCUAUAAGACUGGGAUAACUUCGGGAAACCGGAGCUAAUACCGGAUAAUAUAUUGAACCGCAUGGUUCAAUAGUGAAAGACGGUUUUGCUGUCACUUAUAGAUGGAUCCGCGCCGCAUUAGCUAGUUGGUAAGGUAACGGCUUACCAAGGCAACGAUGCGUAGCCGACCUGAGAGGGUGAUCGGCAACACUGGAACUGAGACACGGUCCAGACUCCUACGGGAGGCAGCAGUAGGGAAUCUUCCGCAAUGGGCGAAAGCCUGACGGAGCAACGCCGCGUGAGUGAUGAAGGUCUUCGGAUCGUAAAACUCUGUUAUUAGGGAAGAACAAAUGUGUAAGUAACUAUGCACGUCUUGACGGUACCUAAUCAGAAAGCCACGGCUAACUACGU